GUAUAUUUAGGCGCUUGAGAGAAUGAUGUUGAAGGAACUCGGCAAAAUGCUUCCGUAACUUCGGAAUAAGGAAGACCUUUAUUUAGGCAACUAUUUGAAGGUGACACAAGCCAGGGAGAAGCGACUGUUUAUCAAAAACACAGGGCUCUGCUAACACGUAAGUGGAUGUAUAGGGUCUGACGCCUGCCCGGUGCUGGAAGGUUAAUGCGAUGGGUGCAAGCUCAUUUCUGAAGCCCCAGUAAACGGCGGCCGUAACUAUAACGGUCCUAAGGUAGCGAAAUUCCUUGUCGGGUAAGUUCCGACCUGCACGAAUGGUGUAACGAUUUGAGUACUGUCUCAACCAGAGACUCGGCGAAAUUGCAAUGUGAGUAAAGAUGCUCACUAUGCGCGACAGGACGGAAAGACCCCGGAACCUUUACUGCAACUUGAUAUUGAAUGUUGGUAUGCAGUAUGCAGGAUAAGUGGGAGACUUUGAAACAAUGGCGCUAGUCAUUGUGGAGUCAACCUUGAGAUACCACUUUCUUCAUAUUGACCUUCUAACCUAGAUCCGUUAUCCGGAUCAGGGACAUUGUCUGGUAGGCAGUUUCACUGGGGCGGUGGCCUCCUAAAAAGUAACGGAGGCGCUCUAAGGUCACCUCAGCGUGGACGGCAAUCACGCAUCGAGUGUAAGUGCAAAAGGUGGCUUGACUGUGACACAAACAAGUGGAGCAGGUACGAAAGUAGGAACUAGUGAUCCCAUGGUUGCAUGUGGGUGCGCCAUGGCUCAUCGGCUAAAAGGUACUCCGGGGAUAACAGGCUUAUACCCCCCAAGAGUCCAUAUCGACGGGGGUGUUUGGCACCUCGAUGUCGGCUCUUCUCAUCCUGGGGCUGGAGCAGGUCCCAAGGGUUAGGCUGUUCGCCUAUUAAAGAGGAACGCGAGCUGGGUUCAGAACGUCGUGAGACAGUUCGGUCCCUAUCCGUCGCGCACGUAAGAAAUUUGAAGAAAGUUGUCCCUAGUACGAGAGGACCGGGAUGAACGAUCCGCUGGUGUGCCAGUUGUUCUGCCAAGAGCACGGCUGGUUAGCUACGAUCGGAAAGGAUAAGCACUGAAAGCAUCUAAGUGCGAAGCCCCUUCUAAGAUAAGAUUUCUCAUCGGGUUAACCGAUUAAGACUCCUUAUAGAACAUGAGGUUGAUAGGUCAGAAGUGUAAGUACAGUAAUGUAUGUAGCUGACUGAUACUAAUAAGUCGAGGGCUUGAGCUG
rnacentral:rRNA from 1 species